rnacentral:sRNA from 1 species
AUGUUGUCUAGCAACCAAUACAUCUCCGCGUUGUGUUCUAAGAAAUAUUGUAAUCUUUAUUUCCACUACUUAGAUUUAGAAUCUAGAUCUUCAUCAAUAUGAAUUAAUGUGUAAAAAGACAGAAAUAGGAUCCGUCUGAAGAACUGUCACAAGUCAAGCAUCUCAAUCAUCAAUCAUUCAAUGUAAUCAAACACGUUGGUGACGUUAGCAUCGUUCAACACACUUCACUAAAUUCACUAAAUGCAGAAUAGAUAAACAUUUUCAAGUAAAAAAAAAA